CAAGACGUAGCUAUAAUUUAAAGCAUUCAGCUUACACCUGAAAGAUAUCUGGUCAACCCUCAGAUCGUCUUGA
rnacentral:tRNA from 1 species